UUUUUCCUUUCUCACGUGUUUCCUCCACUCUUAGUAAAACCAAAUGAAUUUCUCAAGGAAAAAGAAAUUGGCCCUAUCUUCUUCCAGUUAGUCAUGAUGCAGUGAAAAAAUUAAACGCCCAAAGAGAAUCACUAUCUGUGGAUCCAUUCUAUUUUCUCCUCUUCUGAUUUCCUUGUUGCCAUCUUUUCAACCGUGUGGUAAAUGGGACGGUGUGAUGUGUGAGCAAGCGAUGAUUUCAAGGAAAAGUUCAUCAUAUCUCAACUAUUAACCUUCUGAUUUAUUCUUUGAGUGUUGGCUGAGAGUGGGAUCAAAACAUUCCUCAAGCACUUUGGAAGCUCUUUUGAACACGAACUUCAGUAACAUUAAUGGCUCCUUCGUCUGGAGUAUAGGUUAUUUCUUAUGGAUGAAAAUUGUCAAUGGCAUGAGCAAAGUCGGAAAAAGGGAGGGGUAUUUGAAAGAGAGAUAUGAUUGUGGCAUGUUCGCAAUCAAGUACAUGCAACAUUGGAAUGGGGCCAUACUAGCACAUUCAAUUGCGGAGGACAAGAUGCAUUUAUAUUGAUUGAGGCUGGUUGUUACCUUGGUCACGAAUGUGGCAAACAAUGAUAGAGAGGUCAUGAAGGCAUGUCGAAUGUGACGUAUGAGGGUUGUGCCACUUUUGUUAGUUGCAAUUUAUGAACUACUAAAUAUAAAAGAUAAUGUCAAAGAGAAAGGAAAGACAACAUGUCUGUAUAUAAUCACGGUUUGCUUUAUUUGUUUGUUAAUAGUGUUUGCCACUAUGCACCAAUUUAUGCUAACGCAAUAAUGCACACUGGGACAAUAGUGGAAACAUUUGUCAGGAUAAUAUGGUGGGAUUUUUUGAACUUCUAACCAUCCCUUUGUCUUUUAUUCCAUGAUGCUCCAUUAAUUUUAUUGUUCAUGCUUAUUGUCUUUUGUCUUACAAGAAAGGUUGAGCAUAGCCACAAAUUGGCCUAUGUUAAGUGCAUCAGCAAGGCUAAGUGUGAUUAAUAAAGGCCACUUGGAACAGGGAAGGUCAUUGAUGUCACCUUACUUGCCUGAGAGUGGGGCUGGUGGUGGCAGCAAUCCAUAAUCAGAAGGCGACAAUUAGAAAACAUAAUUGUUGACAACCAUGAAGACACCAUGACGAAAAUAGGAGCAAUGUUACACUUCAAAAUCGUGGCUGCUGGAGAAAAGGAUGUGAUCAUACGACAUUCUCAUCAUCACUCAGACUUUAUAAUAUAACUGUUCAUAUUUCGCUUUUUGUUUGUAAAUUUAGGCAUGCCCAAUACCAGAGCUCUCUAAAAACUCUAUAGAUACAUCAUAAUUGGUUUUUUUUGGUUUACCAUUUUUACUUUGGGCACCCAUUGCAUACUUCCGAUAUAUUUGGGUUGUGCCCCCUCUUCUGUUAGGUGGUUUUAGAUUAAUUUAUCAACAACUUAAAAAAAUACAGUGGUAUAUGAAAUAUUGGUUGAGCUAAAGAGGUUACUCCAUGACCUCUUUGCAAGUGUGUAGUUCUAUGAGAGCCAUGCAAUAUGAGAAACUAUUGCCUAGGUUGAAGAACUUGCUUUCUAUUCAGCAUACUAUUUGGCCAAGGUAAUUAUUGCUAUAUGAGAGGUGAAGCUGGAAUUUUUAAGUUUGUUUUAGAAGCCAUCUUUGUCAUCUAUGUUUACGAAUUUUGUUCGGUAUGAUAGAUUUUUCUUUCAACUUCAUUCAUACUGGACCUAUGUUUCUUCCAAUGCAUUACAUGCAGGCUUAUUCUUUAUUUUGCUUGCUGGAAGGAGGUUAACACCCAUUCUAAUAAUAGUUGAUUAUGCUUUUACAUAAUUCAUUGCAGUACGAUGUGUUUGAUAUUGGCUUUAUAACCACGGAUGACUUCACAAAUGUAGACAUAUCGGAAGCAACUUACCCAGCUGUUGCAAAGAGGUUAUAUAAUGAUUGGAUUAAUGGUCCUGCAAUUCCCAUAGUUACUGGUUUGUUUGGAAAGGUUCCUGCUAUGAAGUUUAAUGGUUUCAAUUCCCAGUAACUGGAUUUUAUGCGCACGAGUUGUAGGAAUAUGAUUUAUAUUCUUGUAAUUCCAGGGUUGGAAAUCUGGUGCAGUUACUACCUUGGGUAGGGGUGGGAGUGAUUUGAUAGCCACAUCCAUUGGCGGAGCCUUAGGCUUGCAAGAGAUUCAGGUACGAUCAACCCCUUAGCGCAUGGAAACUGAAAGUCCUGUGGCCAUUGGCAGUCCUUUUUGUAUCUGUACCAUGUUUUGUCUGAAUUGAUUCACAAUGUUCUCUAGUUAUAAUUGAUAAGGAUGAGGCCGACUUUAGUUGUAAAUACUUAAUAUAUUUUUAUGGAGCAAGGGUGCUUCCUACGUUCACCAUAUUGACUUGUGAUCCAAGUAUUUAUUCACGUGCAUUGCCUAUACUAUAUUGUAAUUAUAUUACAACUUUAAGGUUUUUUUUUUUUAUGAGGAGUACGAUUGAUUAUUUAUCUAAUAUUUCAGAUUCAGAAGUGCACUGUUGCUGUGGGGAUAACUAGGUUUCGUUCCCAAUAUACAUGGAAAAUUACCUUUCUACUUGAAUUAGUGUGUAAAUUUGAGCCUUUUCUUUUAUUGUAUUGAUAGUUUAAUCAUACGUGUUAAAUCCCGUAGUUCUCCUGGAUUUUCAAAUUGAUUAAUGGCUCAGUCUGUAUCUUAUUCUGACUUUUCAGUUGAGGAUUUUGAUGUUGGUUUAAGAUGUUUCAUCAAGCUUCUAAUGUGAAUGUACCUCUGGUCGUUCACCUGUUGCUAGGCAAUUUAAUGAUCUAGUAAUGCAUCCGCUUGAACUGUGUAGGACCUAUUAUGUUAUGAGAUUGUGUGGGAAGUUAGCAUUAGGUACCAUGCCUAUUGAAUGUUUUAUCAGUGAAGGAUAUUAUGAUCUUCUUAAUUUGUUGGUUCUUGCUGUAGUUUUGAUAAACAUAAUUGUUGGACCCUGAAUUUUGGAGCCAAACAUUUGACUUGUUCAAUGUGAACAGUAUAUGUGAAGCAGAGAGAACUCUGAUGCUCAAGUCAGUAAUAAUUCAAGGUGAUAGGAAAGUUUUGAUGGAAUAAGGAGUAUAUAUUUUGAUGGAAAGUUUUGAUGGAAUAAGGACUUAUAUUAUAAGUCAAUAUAUAAAUAUCCAGUAUCUACUAGCGACAUUACAUGCAUGGAUAGUAGAGUGACGCAAACAGCACAAAUUAACACACGCACAUGAAAGUUCAGAUUUUCCUAACCUGGCAAAAUUGAAGUUUAGUACAGAGUUUUAAGGUGUGGAUAAUAAGAUUAUGAGCUUAAUUUAUAGAAAUGUUGGUGUAUCUAUUAAGUACUGGCUCCUAUAUGUCAUGAACCUAUCAAGCAUAUGAUCAUAUCUUCCCCCAUCAAGCAUAUGACCAUAUGGAAGCAUGGUCACAUUCAUCAUAUCAUGUCUAUAUCCUAUCCUCAUCAAGCAUGAAUAUUUUCAUGCUUAUGUCCCUCUUUGGUUUCUGGUUGAUUGCUAAUGCGAAAUGAGCCAGAUUGUGAUGCUACACCAAUUUAGCACCAGCUUGAAUAUGAGUCUACACCAGUUUAGAUCCAGCCUGCUGGUGAAUCUCUACUUGCUUAUGCCACAUAUGAACAACCCUGCCUUGGGGACAUUACAGAACUAUUCUGCAUGCUGUCAUGUAGGAUAAUGGUACAAACCUGGUAUGCACUUAUCAGUGGAGAGCAUAGCAUUUAAUUUCAUCUUUGAGGAUUGAGAGAUUUCGAAGUAUCAGUCAUGAUGGUACCGAUCUUGUCUUGAAAUUCAUGCUCUGUAAAUGGGAAAACUUGCACUUCAAAAUUUUGGCAGGCAGAAAAGGCAGAUCGUGAGGCUCACAGCCAAGGUGGAACACCCCAAGAGCAUAGUGCUUCCUGUAGGCCUGAAAUGGCCCCGUCCUAGUCCAGUACCCGAGAGUGGCUGUGUCCUUAUAGCCACAAAGAAGCUUGAUGGGGUAUGCUCCUUUGAAAGAACUGUUCUCCUUCUCAGAUCUGGAACCGGACACCCACAGGAGGGGCCAUUUGCAGUUGUCAUUAACCGGGCUCUUCACAAAAAGAUCAGACACAUGAAGCCCAUUAAUCUGGAGCUGGCAACCACUUAUGCUGAAUGUUCCUUGCAUUUUGGUGGUCCUCUAGAGGCAAGCAUGUUUUUACUUAAAACAGGGGUUUUGACUUGCGAUCCAAGUAUUUAUCCACGUGCAUUGCAUGUGCAAUAUUGUAAUUAUAUUACGAGGUUAUUUUCUCUUUUGAUGAGGUGUACGAUUGAUUAUUUAGCUGAUAUUUAAGAUUCAGAAGUGGACUGUUGAUGUGGUGAUAA